AACGCCGAAAACCCAAGGUUUCCUACGCGAUGCUCGUCAUCGUAGGGUUAGUCGGGUCCUAAGUCGAGUCCGAAAGGGGUAGACGAUGGCAAAUUGAUUAAUAUUUCAAUACCAACAUACAAGCGCGAUGUGGGGACGCAUAGAGUUAGUCGAGCUCACUGAUGGAAUAGUGGCUCGAAGGACGUAGGUUGAUACUUAGGCAAAUCCGGGUAACAUAAGACCGAGAUCUUACAGGCUCUUGACACUCUUCGGAGGAGAUGGAGAAUCGAUGAUACUGUCGUGCCAAGAAAAGCCACUAAGUAUAUUAUAUGUUGCCCGUACCGUAAACCGACACAGGUGGGUGGGAUGAGUAUUCUAAGGCGCGUGGAAGAACCCUGGUUAAGGAACUCUGCAAACUAGCACCGUAUCUUCGGUAUAAGGUGUGCCUACUUUGGUAUAUGGACUUGCUCCAAAAAGCUAGAGAGGUUGCAACAAAGAGUCCCUCCCGACUGUUUACCAAAAACACAGCACUUUGCUAACACGUAAGUGGAUGUAUAAGGUGUGACGCCUGCCCGGUGCUCGAAGGUUAAUUGAUGAUGUCAGCGCAAGCGAAGCAUUUGAUCGAAGCCCGAGUAAACGGCGGCCGUAACUAUAACGGUCCUAAGGUAGCGAAAUUCCUUGUCAGUUAAAUACUGACCUGCAUGAAUGGCGUAACGAGAUGGGAGCUGUCUCAAAGAGGGAUCCAGUGAAAUUGUAGUGGAGGUGAAAAUUCCUCCUACCCGCGGAAAGACGGAAAGACCCCGUGCACCUUUACUACAGCUUGACACUGUAGCUUGGAUAUUCAUGUGCAGGAUAGGUGGGAGGCUAUGAUGACUAGACGCAAGUAGAGUCGGAGCCAUCCUUGAGAUACCACCCUUGAAUAUUUGAGUUACUAACUGCGAUGAGUUAUCCUCAUUCAGGACAAUGUCUGGUGGGUAGUUUGACUGGGGCGGUCGCCUCCUAAAUAGUAACGGAGGCUUACAAAGGUUAGUUCAAAGCGGAUGGAAAUCGCUUGUUGAGUAUAAUGGCAUAAACUAGCUUGACUGUGAGACCUACAAGUCGAACAGAGACGAAAGUCGGUCAUAGUGAUCCGGUGGUUCUGCGUGGAAGGGCCAUCGCUCAAAGGAUAAAAGGUACGCCGGGGAUAACAGGCUGAUCUCCCCCAAGAGCUCACAUCGACGGGGAGGUUUGGCACCUCGAUGUCGGCUCAUCGCAUCCUGGGGCUGAAGUAGGUCCCAAGGGUAUGGCUGUUCGCCAUUUAAAGCGGUACGCGAGCUGGGUUCAGAACGUCGUGAGACAGUUCGGUCCCUAUCUUCCGUGGGCGUAGGAAAGUUGAAGAGAUUUGUCCCUAGUACGAGAGGACCGGGAUGAAC
rnacentral:rRNA from 1 species